UACGUAGGGUGCGAGCGUUAAUCGGAAUUACUGGGCGUAAAGCGUGCGCAGGCGGCUUUGCAAGACAGAGGUGAAAUCCCCGGGCUCAACCUGGGAACUGCCUUUGUGACUGUAAGGCUAGAGUACGGCAGAGGGGGAUGGAAUUCCGCGUGUAGCAGUGAAAUGCGUAGAUAUGCGGAGGAACACCGAUGGCGAAGGCAAUCCCCUGGGCCUGUACUGACGCUCAUGCACGAAAGCGUGGGGAGCAAACAGGAUUAGAUA
rnacentral:rRNA from 1 species